rnacentral:rRNA from 2 species
UACGGCGGCCAUAGCGAAGGGGAAACGCCCGGUCCCAUUCCGAACCCGGAAGCUAAGCCCUUCAGCGCCGAUGGUACUGCGCGGGCGACUGCGUGGGAGAGUAGGACGCCGCCGGAC